GACGAACGCUGGCGGCGUGCUUAACACAUGCAAGUCGAACGGUAAGGCCCUUCGGGGUACACGAGUGGCGAACGGGUGAGUAACACGUGGGUGAUCUGCCCUGCACUUCGGGAUAAGCCUGGGAAGCUGGGUCUAAUACCGGAUAGGACUCCUGGCUUCAUGGUUGGGGGUGGAAAGCUUUUGCGGUGUGGGAUGGGCCCGCGGCCUAUCAGCUUGUUGGUGGGGUAAUGGCCUACCAAGGCGACGACGGGUAGCCGGCCUGAGAGGGUGACCGGUCACACUGGGACUGAGAUACGGCCCAGACUCCUACGGGAGGCAGCAGUGGGGAAUAUUGCACAAUGGGCGCAAGCCUGAUGCAGCGACGCCGCGUGAGGGAUGACGGCCUUCGGGUUGUAAACCUCUUUCAGCUAUGACGAAGCGCAAGUGACGGUAGUAGCAGAAGAAGGACCGGCCAACUACAUGCCAGCCGCCGCGGUAA
rnacentral:rRNA from 1 species